rnacentral:rRNA from 1 species
CGGGAAACCGGGGCUAAUACCGGAUAACAUUUUGAACUGCAUGGUUCGAAAUUGAAAGGCGGCUUCGGCUGUCACUUAUGGAUGGACCCGCGUCGCAUUAGCUAGUUGGUGAGGUAACGGCUCACCAAGGCAACGAUGCGUAGCCGACCUGAGAGGGUGAUCGGCCACACUGGGACUGAGACACGGCCCAGACUCCUACGGGAGGCAGCAGUAGGGAAUCUUCCGCAAUGGACGAAAGUCUGACGGAGCAACGCCGCGUGAGUGAUGAAGGCUUUCGGGUCGUAAAACUCUGUUGUUAGGGAAGAACAAGUGCUAGUUGAAUAAGCUGGCACCUUGACGGUACCUAACCAGAAAGCCACGGCUAACUACGUGCCAGCAGCCGCGGUAAUACGUAGGUGGCAAGCGUUAUCCGGAAUUAUUGGGCGUAAAGCGCGCGCAGGUGGUUUCUUAAGUCUGAUGUGAAAGCCCACGGCUCAACCGUGGAGGGUCAUUGGAAACUGGGAGACUUGAGUGCAGAAGAGGAAAGUGGAAUUCCAUGUGUAGCGGUGAAAUGCGUAGAGAUAUGGAGGAACACCAGUGGCGAAGGCGACUUUCUGGUCUGUAACUGACACUGAGGCGCGAAAGCGU